UAGAUCACUAUACGGCUUCUGUACCGUGAAAUGAAGCUUAUGAUAAAUAAAAUACUGCUGCUUGCUGUUCACUGAUUCAAGAUCGUUCAGUGGCUACCAUUGGCCAAUCUUACCAACGGGAUAUAAUAAGAACUGAUGCAGGUUUAUGCACCCGUAGCCAAGUAACAGCAAUGCGAGUUAAAAUGAGUUAAAAUCAAGUUUUAACUGAAUUAAAAUUAAUUUGAAAAAAAAAAAAUGU